rnacentral:rRNA from 1 species
GACGAACGCUGGCGGCGUGCCUAAUACAUGCAAGUAGAACGCUGAAGGAGGAGCUUGCUUCUCUGGAUGAGUUGCGAACGGGUGAGUAACGCGUAGGUAACCUGCCUGGUAGCGGGGGAUAACUAUUGGAAACGAUAGCUAAUACCGCAUAAUAGUAGAUGUUGCAUGACAUUUACUUAAAAGGUGCAAUUGCAUCACUACCAGAUGGACCUGCGUUGUAUUAGCUAGUUGGUGGGGUAACGGCUCACCAAGGCGACGAUACAUAGCCGACCUGAGAGGGUGAUCGGCCACACUGGGACUGAGACACGGCCCAGACUCCUACGGGAGGCAGCAGUAGGGAAUCUUCGGCAAUGGACGAAAGUCUGACCGAGCAACGCCGCGUGAGUGAAGAAGGUUUUCGGAUCGUAAAGCUCUGUUGUAAGAGAAGAACGAGUGUGAGAGUGGUAAGUUCACACUGUGACGGUAUCUUACCAGAAAGGGACGGCUAACUACGUG